rnacentral:tRNA from 1 species
GGGGUUGUAGCUCAGUGGUAGAGCGCUCGCCUAGCAAGUGUGAGGCCCUGGGUUCGAACCCCAGCACUACA